AUCCAUCUGACGAGUCCCAAAUAGGACGAGACUCGUGUCCUCGAC
rfam:Schistosoma curassoni strain Dakar, Senegal genome assembly, scaffold: SCTD_scaffold0004785